ACUAAGGCUUGCCUGGUGCUUUCCCAAAACACCAGGAACCCCGUGGAUCUCACUCUGUCCUCAUGGAAGGGGCGUUCACUUACACAAAGACUGGAUACAUUCUUGGGGUGAAACACUUCAUAUUUUUUCCUCAAAUCCACCUGUCCUAGAGCAAAGGGAGAUAGGGGAAGCACUUGCAAUUCAUUCCUCUCAUCUGUACCCCAAAUUCUGCUUUCCAGGAAUCCAGGUGCCCCCAAAAAUUGUUUGGAGAAGUUAAAAAGUCACAGAAUGACAGAAUGGUUUGAGCUGGAAGUGACUUUUGGAGAUUAUCUAGUCCACCAUCCAAGAGGAAAGGAAGGCUGCGGUGUCUGCACAUCACCUAAGGGGAAUGACCUGAGGAGAAAGAGCUCAGACCCUUCAGAAAUCUUUCAAAGAGAAGCCCCAGCUCUCCUUUAUCUCUUUUGAAAUUAACACAUCAUACUUUGCACAUGUUGAGCAACAAAGUUCCUAAUAUAGCUUCCAAAAACCCCCAGGCCCAGUGGGGCAGUGCCAUUGUUUUACAAAGAGGGUGAGAGCAGGACACUCACUCCCCUGGCCAGUGACAACAGCACCUCAGGGUCACCCUGAACUAGAGGUUUGCACAGAGAUUAUGGGGUUUAACAGCCACCAAAGCAUGUGUCACCCAUGAAUUUGUAUAAUUCUUCUUUAAAGACAGUUACACUUUUGGCUCUGUGAUGCCUCGGCCACCAGUUGCUGUUGUUUAAUCAGCAGCUCCUACCUCACCCUUUCAUUUACAGGAACCUUUGCUCUUGUAAUAAUGAAGGCAACUCACAGAUCUGAGCAGGACAGAUUCUGAUGGUCCAGUUUGCAAAGACAACAGGGUCUCACAACAGGAUAACACAAAGGCUGGUAAAAUCCCAGGGGGGAUUUUCAGAAGUGCUACUCUCACUGCAAGCCAGCACCAGCAGUCUUGAAAAAUCCCAUAUUUAUUUGUUAUUUAUUAUAUGUUUCCUAUUAAUAAAUUUCUGUCUCAAAUUAUACUUAUAAUAAAACAUUAAAAAUUCUGCUUUUGGGAAAAAAAAAAUAUCCAGAUCUGUUCUUCCUUCCUGGAGAUUUGCUGCUUGUUCUGCAACAGGAGAUGUGAAUUAUGGAAGUAUUAAUAACAGCAAUAUCAGGAAAUGAUCAUUCAGGCAGCAGAAAUCCAUAUGAGACAUUAUGGCUUUAAAUAAAUUGUUCAUUGCUAUGUUAAUCUAAUCUUGUAAAUACGUGCACACUUAACCAUAUUAAAAAUGUAAAUGCUCCCAGACCUGGACUUCAUAUGAUGAAUAAACAACUCCCCCUUUUUUGCCUUG